rnacentral:rRNA from 1 species
CCAACAGGGAUUGCCUCAGUAACGGCGAGUGAAGCGGCAACAGCUCAAAUUUGAAAUCUGGCCCCAGGCCCGAGUUGUAAUUUGCAGAGGAUGCUUCGGGCGCGGUGCCUUCCAAGUCCCCUGGAACGGGGCGCCACAGAGGGUGAGAGCCCCGUCGGGUCGGCCGCCAAGCCUGUGUGAAGCUCCUUCGACGAGUCGAGUAGUUUGGGAAUGCUGCUCUAAACGGGAGGUAGACCCCUUCUAAAGCUAAAUACCGGCCAGAGACCGAUAGCGCACAAGUAGAGUGAUCGAAAGAUGAAAAGCACUUUGAAAAGAGGGUUAAACAGUACGUGAAAUUGUUGAAAGGGAAGCGCUUGUGACCAGACGUGCACCGGGUGCUCAGCGGGCGUUCUCGCCCGUGCAUUCGCUCCGGUGCAGGCCAGCGUCGGUUCGGGAGGGGGGACAAAGGCGCCAGGAACGUGGCUCUUCGGAGUGUUAUAGCCUGGCGUGUCAUGCCCCCGCCCGGACCGAGGUUCGCGCUCCGCAAGGACGCUGGCGUAAUGGUCCCCAGCGACCCGUCUUGAAACACGGACCAAGGAGUCGAGGUUUUGCGCGAGUGUUUGGGUGUCAAACCCGCACGCGUAAUGAAAGUGAACGCAGGUGGGAGCUUCGGCGCACCACCGACCGAUCCUGAUGUUCUCGGAUGGAUUUGAGUAGGAGCGUAGGGCCUCGGACCCGAAAGAUGGUGAACUAUACUUGGAUAGGGUGAAGCCAGAGGAAACUCUGGUGGAGGCUCGCAGCGGUUCUGACGUGCAAAUCGAUCGUCAAAUCUGAGUAUGGGGGCGAAAGACUAAUCGAACCAU